CCUGAACGCGAUAGGGGGCGGUAGUGUUCGUGUCUGCUCUGAAACUUCCCGCGUGUGUUCGAAAUUUAAACUUGUGGGACUGAUAUGUGACUCUUGGAUUUUUGAGAAGUAUGGCGGGUGGAGCACUCGUUUUAUUGGCGAUAUCAAUAUUAAAUACCGAUGCACUAAGUACGGAGAAAUUCUCAAGUGGACUCCAUACGUAAGUAU